AGGAGUGUAGCUCAGUGGCAGAGCACUUGCCCUAUGAAUGUGAAAUCCUGGGUUUGAUACUGAGUUUAAUUCUCAGCACUGCCA
rnacentral:tRNA from 1 species